AUCGUCUUUUUCUCUCCUCCUUCUUUUUUGUGUUUGUUGCUCUCUUGUAACACCUCUAGUCUUCAGCACUUAUAUGACCUUAUUGUGUUCAAGUGCCGUAAAACAUUACUCAAAACGAAACAUCAUCACGUCUAAUCGAUGCUUUGUUUUUCUCUUCGGCAGGACGAGCAGUAGCAGCUCACUUUCCUUAUCUUUAUUCAGCGAGAGUGAUUUGGCAGAAGCACCCUCCACCAGUGGUUGCAGCUCGGAGAUGGCGAGCGCGAUGCAAUCCAAGGAGAAGAAGAAGGAGCGGGCCAAGGAGUUCAUGAAGAAGCUCAAGUCCAUGCUCCCCAUGAAGGAGCGGACGGGCAAGAUGGACACUCUGUCUACCCUGGAGCAACUGGUCAACUCCAUGAGGCAGCUCAACG